rnacentral:rRNA from 1 species
AGCUCCAAUAGCGUAUAUUAAAGUUGUUGCAGUUAAAAAGCUCGUAGUUGGAUUUCUGGUUUGGAGCACGGGUCGGCCCUAACGGGUUGUACUGUUGUUGCGUCCUGCCGUUUCGGAGGGAAUCCUUUUGGUAUUAAGUUACUAGAAGGGGGAUCUCCGUCGUUUACUGUGAAAAAUUAGAGUGUUCAAAGCAGGCCAUCGCUGUGAAUACAUUAGCAUGGAAUAAUAAGAUAGGACUGUAGUGCUAUUUUGUUGGUUUGCGUACUAUGGUAAUGAUUAAUAGGGAUAGUUGGGGGUAUUCAUAUUCAAUUGUCAGAGGUGAAAUUCUUGGAUUUAUGGAAGAUGAACUACUGCGAAAGCAUUUACCAAGGAUGUUUUCA